rnacentral:rRNA from 1 species
GCGCGAAAACUUUACAAUGCUGGCAACAGCGAUAAGGGAACCUCGAGUGCCAGGUUACAAAUCUGGCUGUCGAGAUGCCUAAAAAGCAUUUCAUAGCAAGGGCCGGGCAAGACCGGUGCCAGCCGCCGCGGUAACACCGGCGGCUCGAGUGGUAACCGUUAUUAUUGGGUCUAAAGGGUCUGUAGCCGGCCGGAUAAGUCUCUUGAGAAAUCUGGCAGCUUAACUGUCAGGCUUUCAGGAGAUACUGUCUGGCUCGAGGCCGGGAGAGGUGAGAGGUACUUCAGGGGUAGGGGUGAAAUCUUGUAAUCCUUGAAGGACCACCUGUGGCGAAGGCGUCUCACCAGAACGGACCUGACGGCAAGGGACGGAAGCUAGGGGCACGAACCG